rnacentral:sRNA from 1 species
GUUUGUUAAAUAAGAGCAGCUUAAUGAUUAGACUCUUAUCAUUGUGAGCAAAUCGAUGCAUUUAUCAAAUAAUUUCUUAGAAAUCUACAUAUUAUCAUCGUACUUAUUAUGAAAGGGUCAAAUUUCGCCCAUUGGGUGUCGAAGGGUUAACCAAAUACGAACGUGCUGGCAACGGCGUAGGCGUCCGGGUUGUUAUUGUUGUGUCAGGUUUUCAGCUAUUUAGCGGCAAUUUGUAUGGGAAAAGUUUGCCAAAUGUAAACGGAAUUGCAGUUUAAACCUCAUUUGGCGCACAUCGUGGGCGGUCGAUAGAAAAAGGCGACUGCAAUACCUGGAAUACAGCAGUCGUAAAUCAGCGAUUGUUCAGUCAGUCGCGGCUGGCGCCUCCUGCUCGAACAUAAAUUUAAUUGAAAGACUGGGAUCGAGGCUGGAACUUCGACGGGAACUGGGUUUGGGCCAGAAAGCCAAAGACUGGGCCAAAACCCAAGAGCCAAAGAGCCAAAGAUGCCAGCCGGAGGUGGAGGCGUCAAUUGGCAAAUUGGUUUCCAUGUCAGCCAGCAGGAAAAGUUAAUUUUCUCGCCGCCAUAAAUAACACCCUGAUCGACUGGAACUACGGCACGAUCGAAGGCAUCAGAGGAUCUCCAUCUGCCGAUCGGGAAUUGGAAUAGCAAUGCGAAUCUCCUCUGGCAGGUGAGCAUGGGUGCUGUCCGUUUCGAUUCCAAAUGCAAUUCCCUCGCAGGCCAGAAGCCACGUUUUUUAAUGCUUUUUUAAUUGGAAAUGCACAGCAGCACGCUGAUGACGCCCCAAAAUGCCAGUUUGCUAUUACGUAAUUGCAAUUUAAUGAUCGAGUCUGCGAAAAUUCAACAAACAUUUUUCAACUCACACAUACGUGUGUGCAAAGGAUGCCCCGAGGCAUUGUUUAUAAUAAUUUCUUUUAAAACAUCAAAUAAAGCAAAGAAAGCGUGUUUAAGUAAAGAUAGAGUAAUAAAGAUUCGUUACAGCAGUA